AAGGAUGGUCGAGUGGCUUAAAAAUGUCUCCGAGUUUACAAAGCCAAUGUCCGCGUUACUCGGGCCUUUGUCGCAGAUUUUAUUCUUUGGAUUGCUGACAGUACAGUGUCAGUCAGCUGGUUUCUCCUGUCACGAUCAGGACAGCCCAGAAGCAAAGCCUGUAGAGGUGUGAAACAGGACAGGUUCCCACGGCACGCAAGCAACUGCACAUAUGCCACUGCUAUAGAGCAGAAGAACAGCUCGACUCUGCAGAUGCGUCACUCACGCGCAGUGAGCUUUCACAGUCCAAUUUAUGACUGGCUACUGUAAAGUCACAUUGACUGGGAUGAACACUGUGUCACGUGUCCUGUUUAUAAUGCCGUGUUGAUAACAUGACUAUUGCACUACGACCCUUUCAAUCAAGCAUCUGGUUCAUUUCUUAUGUCAGGGCCCAUCUUCUAAAUGACUCUUAUUCUGUUAAUUUACUAAUAUGAAUAAAGAAGUCAGAAAGCUUAA